rnacentral:rRNA from 1 species
UACGUAGGGGGGCAAGCGUUGUCCGGAUUUAUUGGGCGUAAAGAGCGUGUAGGCGGUCAGGUAGGUCCGUUGUGAAAACUCGAGGCUCAACCUCGAGACGCCGAUGGAAACCAUCUGACUAGAGUCCGGAAGAGGAGAGUGGAAUUCCUGGUGUAGCGGUGAAAUGCGCAGAUAUCAGGAAGAACACCAACGGCGAAGGCAGCUCGCUAGGACGGUACUGACGCUGAGACGCGAAAGCGUGGGGAGCGAACAGG